rnacentral:rRNA from 1 species
UGGGGAAUAUUGCGCAAUGGGCGAAAGCCUGACGCAGCGACGCCGCGUGUGGGAUGACGGCCUUCGGGUUGUAAACCACUGUCGCGAGGGACGAAGCUCUGACGGUACCUCGAAAGGAAGCACCGGCUAACUCUGUGCCAGCAGCCGCGGUAAUACAGAGGGUGCGAGCGUUGUCCGGAAUCACUGGGCGUAAAGGGCGCGUAGGUGGCCUGGUUAGUAGGGGGUGAAAUCUCGUGGCUCAACUGCGAGGCUGCCUCCUAAACUGCCAGGCUCGAGCAUAGUAGAGGCAGGUGGAAUUCCCGGUGUAGCGGUGGAAUGCGUAGAGAUCGGGAAGAACAUCGGUGGCGAAGGCGGCCUGCUGGGCUAUUGCUGACACUGAGGCGCGACAGCGUGGGGAGCAAACAGG